AUGAAGGCACCUCAUCAACGGGGCUAUAUAAGCACUUUGAGUCCAGCGCUUCCAUCUAAUAGGAGCUCACCCCCACAAACAGACCACUUCCCCUUGUGGUGCUGGAAGCCUGCGCCAGAUGAAGGUCAACAUGCGCGGUCUGGACCGUAGAAACGUGCUCAUUUCGCUCUGCAUCGUGCACCUCCUCGCGCUCAGUGAGGGGCGCCCCGUCAGGAAGAGGGCCGUGAGCGAGGUGCAGCUCAUGCACGACCUCGGGGCGCUGAAGCAGGCGCGGGAGCGUCGCCAGUGGCUGCAGAGGAGGCUCCAGGGGGCCCACGCGGGCCUGACGUGGGGCGGCGCGGGGGAGGCGGGCCGGGCGGGCAGGAGAGAGCGGCCCGAGGAGCCGCCGGAGCUGAGCGGCAUGACGCCGGAGGAGAUCCAGCUCGCGUUGAACUUGCUGGAAAGGCUCCUCAAGUCGAAGCCGUCCUGAUUUUGGUUGAUUUGAUGACGUCUUCGAUGUUCGCGGCAACUUUGCAGCGCUGAAUUUUAAGCAACCCUCUAUUUUUUCUAUUUAAUUAUUUGUUGUUUAUAACUAGUUGUUCUUGUGGGUGUUUCAUCGGGAUGUAUUUUAAUUGUAUUUGUUUGACAUAAUCUAUAUUAUUACAUACUUUUAUUUAUUAAAUUGAUAUUUAUGGAUUUAACGAAGGGAAACUUCCCCAUUGUGUAAAUGCACUUUUAUUUAACAAGUGUUGUUUUACUUGCUUACUUCCCCAGACUGAAGGUGAUAAAGAGAUGGACCAACAGUGUUUUGUAUAUUUUUUAUUUUUG
ensembl:lncRNA